AGCUAAAUAGUUUAUAUAAAACUUUAAUUUUGUAAAUUAAUGAAAAAAUUAUUUUUUUUAGCUU
rnacentral:tRNA from 1 species